rnacentral:rRNA from 1 species
AACGAACGCUGGCGGCAUGCCUAACACAUGCAAGUCGAGCGAGACCUUCGGGUCUAGUGGCGCACGGGUGCGUAACGCGUGGGAACCUGCCCUUAGGUUCGGAAUAACUCCCCGAAAGGGGUGCUAAUACCGGAUAAUGACUUCGGACCAAAGAUUUAUCGCCUUUGGAUGGGCCCGCGUUGGAUUAGCUAGUUGGUAGGGUAAAAGCCUACCAAGGCGACGAUCCAUAGCUGGUCUGAGAGGAUGAUCAGCCACACUGGGACUGAGACACGGCCCAGACUCCUACGGGAGGCAGCAGUGGGGAAUAUUGGACAAUGGGCGAAAGCCUGAUCCAGCAAUGCCGCGUGAGUGAUGAAGGCCUUAGGGUUGUAAAGCUCUUUUACCCGGGAUGAUAAUGACAGUACCGGGAGAAUAAGCUCCGGCUAACUCCGUG